AUGGUUCCUCAGAGAAUACCCCCCGGUAUUAUAAAUUGGACAGUCAUCAGUGCUGUGCUGGGAUUACCCGUUGGGGACCACGGCUAUGUCACAGUACAGUGGACUGAAUUUAAUUGGGCCAUGGCUACUAUUGGCCACGAACAAAACAAAAUUUCCUUUCUUGAAGAUGGGUCAAACUGUAAUUUUUUCAGACAGGGAAAAGCAUAUUUUUAAAAUAGCUUAAUUUUCUCAGUGGUCCUUUAUACUAUAAAUUUCGUUUCUAUUUAAUCAUUUUGUAUUUUCCCUUAUAUUUUCUGUUAAGAAAAAAAAGAGAACUGAAAAUGAGAAAAAUGUGAAUGAAAGAGAUUAUGAAUGGUGUGAUUGAUAAAUAACCUUCUUUUUGCUGAAUAAAAUAACCAACCAGUGAAUAAGAAAUGAAGUAUCAAAGAUUCAAAGAUUUGUGUGAUAAAUAGUUUCCUGCUAAUCAAAUUUUGUAAUAAAUAUAUUUCCAAUUUUGAUAAUUCUCUCUCUUUGAAAAUCAAUGUUUUAAAUUCAACUCAUGUUUGAUGUAAACAUUUUUGGUACUAAAAGGCUAUUCUAUUUUAUGUAUUAAUUAUGAGACUACAAUUUCUUUUGCAAGUUGUACAGAUCUCUUAACACCCAAAGUUUGUCAAGAACCAGCCUUUUUAAUUAAUUAAUCAAAUAUAAAGUUCUAUUGAUCAAUGCCAUUAGUUGAAGAGUUCAAGGGGCCAUUUAGUAUAUGUGUUUAAAUACAAGUUUUCCGUUUUUAAAUAACAUUUUAAGCAUUUUCACACACUUUUUUAUCCACACGUAUUUAUAAAAAAUACAAACAACGCUAUUAAAAAAAAAUAUUACCAAACAGCCUCUAAAUGAUGCUCACUUUAUGUUUGAGCAAUUUGUUAUUCCAUAGUCACAUUUUGUGACUAUGUGCUCUUUUUUGUCCCAACUGGAUUUUUGUGUGUAUGUUGGAAUAUGGAAAAACUAUAUGCUGAUUUGGGGAUUCGAAUCUUAUUUUUUGCUUUGCAAUCUCAUCUUGUGCUAGAAUCUAAAAACGUUGUAGCUUAAUUGACAUCUUUCCAUAUAUAAAGUGCUUGAGGGUUUAGAAAGGAAGUGACGUUCGAACUGUGAAAUUAGUAGUACAUUAUAAUUAUCUUUUUCUUUUUUCUUUUUUUCGUUGAAAAGAAAGACAAUAUUGUUUAUUAAUCAAAAGUUGGUAAAUCAGAAAUUACAAGGGAAAUAAAAUCUAGAGGAACCGACUCCAUCUAGACUAUGAGAGGAAAAGAAAGUCCUAUUCUCUAGACUAAGAUAUGUGCAGCUACAUUACCUUAUCGAACAAUAUGAGAGAAAUUAAUAAUAACUCUGUAAAGAGCUAACAUAGGACAACUUGUCUUUUAAAAUCUUGUGUUGGAAUGACAUUGUUGAUUAACUGAUUUAAUGGUGUAUAUCACAAAUGAUCAAUGCAAUUUACAGGUUACAAGUGAUGAAUUUUUGAACACCUUAAGCCAAAUUAAUUCAUCAUAUGGCAAAAAAUACUCAAAUGAGAAACUACUUAUUUGCUAUGUAUAGAUCACAUAAAAUAUUUGUACGAGGCAGAUACAAAUAUUCAUUUCAUGCAAAGGAAGGCGCCAAAAUGCUCACAUUAAUCACCCUAGCCACACAUAGUAGAUACCAAAAUCAGUAGGAACAAAUAUAUUUGUCUUUCCUACAUAUACAUACAAAUUUCAAAAGCAGCAAUUAAAUUUUGAACACCUGAAAAUGAAUAUGAAAUUGAAUUAAGCACCCUCUCAUGUAAUAUCUCUUUAAUUCACAAACACUUCUCAACAACAUAGCUAGUUACAGAUGAUAUAUACAGUUGAACUAAAUCUAAGAGAACUUGAUAUUUAAUAUUUCAAUGUAGUAAGUAGAAAGAAGUGUCAACUUGUGUGUAAAAUUAUUUACUGCACCGAACAGAUGCACCAGGUCAUAAAUAGAUAUAAUGCGUGCUUAUUUCCGAUUCCUGAGUUGGAUGAUAGUUGACAACCAUAUCAUAGGCUAGUAGAGAACGAUACCACCUAGAACAAAUAAAUAUAUAUAAAUUCCAAAUCAAACAGUACAAGAAGACAUUAAAUGUUCAUAAAAAAGAAGAAGAAGACAUUAAAUAUAACAAGGCCACACGCCACAAAAAUUUUAUAAGCUCAAUUGGUUUUGUAAAGUCAACAACAAUUAUUUUUUUGAUCACUAGUCACAUCCCUUAGAUAUUAGUAAUAGACACCGCACCGGUCUUUGUUAAAGUUGUACUAAGGUAGGUCUCAUUUAAUAAAAAAAUUAGAGAUAAAUAAAAGAAAAAAAACAUAAAACUGGUUUUACGUGUUAUUUUAAUAAUUUUUUCUCUAUAAAAUUGGCCUCACACUAAAAAAAAAGGACGUAAAAUUACAGAAAAAAACAAAAAAUUGAACAAAAAGAAGUCAAAAAAUUGCUGUUAAUGGGUGCCGUAAUAUUUGGUCCCAUAAAAAAAAUAAAAAUAAAAAGAAGUAAUUUAUGGGGUUUGGUUUUGUAUAGAAAACAUUUGAAACAUGAGGAACUAUCUUCUGCGGGUUAAUAGUUGUGACAAAUACAAACAAAAUGUAAUGUAAUAGCUUUGGAGAAAAUCGGAAAUCAGUUUUAUUAUGUCGGUAAAGUAAAAUCAAAGAUCAAAUAAAUGAUGGAUUUUUGCUUCUUUUUCUUUCACUAUACACUUGGGUGUUUCUUUUCUUUUUCUUUUUUCUUUGCCAGGUCUACUUGGGUCUUUCCUUUUGGCACAUUUUUGACCACCAAUUCAGCAUAUCUUCCUAAUUCAAUGCCAAUUCCGGCUUUUAUAAGCCAUUUCCCCCCCCACCCCCCCCCCCCUCCAAAAAAAAAGAGUACCUAUUUUGAUUCUAGGAUCUCUUUUCUAUAUAAGCACUGAUCACAUACUAAAUAAAAUUUAUUUUAAAACUAAUUUGGAGAGAAACCUUACAAAGUCUUCAUAUAUCUUUAUAUUGAGUGUAAAUUUUGAAAAUCUAACCACUGGAUUGUAUGUUUUUAUUAUAUCUUUCAUUCUUAUAAAAUUUCAAAAAGAUCAAAGAUCAAUUGCUAUAUUAUCAAGCAAAUGUUAAAAUUUCAAGUUUUUGUGAUUUAAAAUUGUAUAUAAAAAAUAAUUUUAUCGAUCGAAUGGUAAAAAGUUUAUAAUUUAAACAAAAUUUGAUAUACAUGUUAAGAACUUAAGGAACAUGAAAUUUAAAUAUUUAUAUUUUCAAAAUUCACACAUAGAAAAAACUGUAGGGGUGUUCACCAAACCGCAUCAAAACUGCCCGCAAAAUGGCAUAACUGCACUGCAAGUAACAAUGCACCGCACCACCUGGUGCAAUGCAAUUUGCAAUUUUAUAAUAAGAAAACCGCACAAACCACACCCUUUCUAUAUAUUAAUAUUUUAUUUUUUUAAUAUUAAAUAUAUUAUUAAUUAAUAUUUUAAUACUUCUAAAAAAAAAAGUUUAAUAACCCUAGUUUUCAAAAAAAAAAAAAUUAUAAUAACCCUUGUAAGUGUUAAUUAGGAAAGCCAAUCCAAAAUAAAGAAAAACUAGCUUAAUAUUUUAAGACUUGGCCCAAAACAAAGGGGAAAAUCAGUUUUUUGCUAGGCAGGAAAAGCCUAAAAUCUGAAAAAUAUAUUAGUUUCAAAUCGCAAUUUAUACACUACAUCAAACAAGUGAUCGCAAAAAUGAGAUCUGGUGCGGUUAUGAUUUUUGCUAACUCUAAACCACACCACACCGCACAUAUGACCGCAAAAAUGAGGUGCGAUGCAGUUAUGGCUUUGCUUAAACCGCACCACAAAGUGCAGUGCUAAAAAUGACCUAAAACUGUACUGCACCGCAUCGCGAACACUCCUAGAAAAAAAAUAUAUGAGAAAUUUGAAAAGUUACUCAUAAACUUUGUUCGCACAUACUGAUUGCUCACAUAACAUUAUUAGGCAACAUAAAAACAAGUAAAGAAUUAAAACAAAGUUACCAAUUUAUUUGCUUAAAAAAAAAAAGAAAUUUGCUAAUCCAAUUCACUUGCUGUUUGUUAAAAAAUAAAAAGAGUAAUGCUACAGUCACAAGCUAUUUUACAAUAUUUUUACAAAAUGUUGAUGUGACCAAAUUUUUAUUAAUUUUUAUCUAGGCCUACCAUAAAUAUCACUUUUUUAUUUACCAAUAGUCAUUCACCACAUCAGUAGUUUGUAAAAAAAAUUUGUAUUUUUAACAUUACUAAAAAAAAAAAAAAAACUUAUGUGAGACGCUAAAUUAAUAAUAAAAUAAAAUAAAAGGUAAAAUUCACACCUAAAAGCAGAAACUGUUAUUUGCUCAAAAAAGAAAAAGAAAAAGCAGAAACUGUUAAAAACUAUACUUAAAUUGACCAUAAAAAAAGUAAACUAUAAAAUUUAAACUCAUCCAAAUUCCAAACACAGGAUCAAAUUAUUAAUUUUUUUUUAUUUUGUUUAAUGUCACAUUUGGUUAAACAAAAGUAAAAAAAUCAAAAAAGCCACCGAAAUUUCUUUAUCUUCUCUUAAUAAAUGUUUUGUUAUUGUUUUGGGGAGAAGUGAAAAGGAAAGUCCAAAUUGUUUACUUAUAUAUAGGCUACCAAAAAAGUCCACCCUAUGCUAAUCAGAACCCGGCAAAUUCAACGGAACGGACCUAAUUGGUCCCCCCCAAAAUUCAAAAUCUUUUAAAUAACAUUUCCAUUUCUAAGAUUUAAAAUCAAAUUAUUUCCAAAAAUUCAAAAAUUUUAAGAUUGAAAAAAAAAAUUAAAAAAAAAAAAGUACUUUAAGACAGUACAUGCAAUGGGCUAAAAUCCAAAACCAAAAAACAGUGUUAGGACUUAAGAAUUGCAUGCUCAAACAAACGGACACACUGCUUAGUUGCAUACAUGUGUUGUGUUAUGUCCCCCUCUCUCUCUCUCUCUCCCUCUCUCUCUCUCUCUCUCUGUGUCAGUCUCCAACGGAUCUCACCCAAUCUCUCUCUCUUACAGCAUACAUAUCAUAUACAAACUCUCUGAGAUUCUCUCUUUCUCACUCACUCAUUUGCUUCUUUCACUUGCUCUUUCUCUUUCAUACAAGCUUACAAAACUCUUUUUUUCUUUUUCUUUUUUUAAUAGUCAAGUAUUAGUCUAUUUCUCUCUCUCUCUUGACUAUCGUUUUCUUUGAAAGAAGCCCUCGUGAAGUGCAUGUGAAGAUUGCUGGGAGAUCCAGGACUUAAUGAUCCAAAUGGGUUCGCUUGCCUUUUUCUGAUUCAGGUGAUAGGGGUGUUUCCCUUCUUGCUUUUUUUGAUUGUUCUUCUUCUUCUACUUCCUUCUUUUUCCUUUUGUUUUCUUGUUGUGUUGUUACAUUAAGUUCCUUUUUGUUUUCUCAUGGCCUUAUCUGAUUCUCUCUGGUUUGUCGAAAUCCAUAAUCUUUUUCAAGGUUUUGGAAGUAAAGCGGCUUGAGAUUUUGAUUGCUGCUGGGAUUUCAAAAGAUGGGUUGCUUUUAGUUUGUUCUGGUUCUGGGGUUUUUGCAUGUUGA
rnacentral:sRNA from 1 species